CCCGCAUUUGUGGUCUCCUCUCUUGGCUUUGGAGCCCCCCUCCCUCUGUCUCUGUACGGGGGUGCCUUCUUCUUUUCUUCUUCUCCCUUCUUUCUUGCCUAUUAAACUCUCCACUUCUUAAUACCACUACACGUGUAUCUGUGUCAUUUUAUCCAAUUUGCAUGAGACAAGAGCCCUGGUGCUCCUCCACUCAUCAGAGCUGUAUCAUUUUGGUGCAUGGGCCAGGAAAAUCCAAAGUACAGCCUUCGUUGGAGUGGGAGACCUUGCCAUCAUGCGAGGCUGGGAAAACUUCUGAGGCAACUGAGAAUUUCUGGUCAGGGCACGCUCUGGCAUGAUUCAAAGGCCUCUGGACCGGACGCAGCCUCCGACAGCCGGGUGUUGGCAGAGAAUCCUCAAUUAUCCUGUGGCCAAACUUUCUUUCUGUCUCUAUCCAUGGUCUCUUACCCUCUCUGUGUGUCUAAUGUGCAGGGAUCUUUACAGUUCAGGGAAACAGGUCUGCUAGAAGAGAUUGUGAAUCACGGCAGCCAGUAACUCAAUAAACGUUUCUCUAUGGUUUC